GACGAACGCUGGCGGCGUGCUUAACACAUGCAAGUCGAACGAUGAAGCCGGAGCUUGCUCUGGUGAAUUAGUGGCGAACGGGUGAGUAACACGUGAGUAACCUGCCCUUGACUCUGGGAUAACUGCUAGAAAUGGUAGCUAAUACCGGAUACGACCCUCGGAGGCAUCUCCAGGGGGUGGAAAGAAUUUCGGUCAAGGAUGGACUCGCGGCCUAUCAGCUAGUUGGUGAGGUAACGGCUCACCAAGGCGACGACGGGUAGCCGGCCUGAGAGGGUGGCCGGCCACACUGGGACGGAGACACGGCCCAGACUCCUACGGGAGGCAGCAGGGGGGAAUAUUGCACAAUGGGCGCAAGCCUGAUGCAGCAACGCCGCGUGAGGGAUGACGGCCUUCGGGUUGUAAACCUCUUUUAGUAGGGAAGAAGCGAAAGUGACGGUACCUGCAGAAAAAGCACCGGCUAACUACGUGCCAGCCGCCGCGGUAA
rnacentral:rRNA from 1 species